rnacentral:rRNA from 1 species
UACGUAGGGGGCAAGCGUUGUCCGGAAUCAUUGGGCGUAAAGAGCGUGUAGGCGGCCCGAUAAGUCCGCUGUGAAAGUCCAGGGCUCAACCCUGGAAUGCCGGUGGAUACUGUCGGGCUCGAGUUCGGAAGAGGUGAGUGGAAUUCCUGGUGUAGCAGUGAAAUGCGUAGAUAUCAGGAGGAAUACCGAUGGCGAAGGCAGGUCUCUGGGCUGAUACUGACGCUCAUGCACGAAAGCGUGGGAGCAAACAGG